GCCGCCUUAGCUCAGUUGGUAGAGCAACGCUUUUGUAAAGCGAAGGUCCCCCGUUCGAAUCGGGGAGGCGGCU
rnacentral:tRNA from 1 species